AUUGAACGCUGGCGGCAGGCUUAACACAUGCAAGUCGAGCGGGGUGAUGGUGCUUGCACUAUCACUUAGCGGCGGACGGGUGAGUAAUGCUUAGGAAUCUGCCUAUUAGUGGGGGACAACAUCUCGAAAGGGAUGCUAAUACCGCAUACGUCCUACGGGAGAAAGCAGGGGAUCACUUGUGACCUUGCGCUAAUAGAUGAGCCUAAGUCGGAUUAGCUAGUUGGUGGGGUAAAGGCCUACCAAGGCGACGAUCUGUAGCGGGUCUGAGAGGAUGAUCCGCCACACUGGGACUGAGACCCGGCCCAGAAUCCUACGGGAGGCAGCAGUGGGGAAUAUUGGACAAUGGGGGGAACCCUGAUCCAGCCAUGCCGCGUGUGUGAAGAAGGCCUUAUGGUUGUAAAGCACUUUGAGCGAGGAGGGGGCUCUUUUGGUUAAUACCCAAGAUGAGUGGACGUUACUCGCAGAAUAAGCACCGGCUAACUCUGUGCCAGCCGCCGCCGUAA
rnacentral:rRNA from 1 species